rnacentral:rRNA from 1 species
GAAGAUAGAGCACAGUGGAAUGCAAGCCUUGAGAAAGAUCUUGUGGACUUGCUUCGUGAGCAUGAUACACCUGAACAUAAGGGUCAAAAUGGAUGGAGCUCAGAAGCAUGGAAUACGAUAGUGAAGAAAUUCCACCAAAAGAAUCCUUAUGCUAGGUACGAGAAGAAGAAAAUCCAAGAAAAGGAAAAAGAGUUGAAAAAAGAAUACAAGAUGAUCAAAGAGAUAAGGAAGCAAAGCGGUGUUUCAUGGGACGACCGGCAGUGCAGGAUUCUAGCGGAUCCACCACUUUGGAAAAACAUCAUCAUAUCACACCCUAAAGCUGGAAAGUUCAAGACAAAAGCCUUCCCUCUUUUUGAAGCUUUGGAAGAAUUGCAUGAUGGCCAAACUGCAGAAGGGACAUAUAACUUCACCUCUAUCGAGUCAUCACAUUGCUCAACCCAAUCACAUCUCGAGAAUCUUGGAGGAAAAUGGAGAAGAGAAAGAACCAAAGAGAAGGAGGGGGCGAAUGGUGAUGUGGCUGCAAUGAUGGAGAAGUACUUGGAAAUAAGGACGAAGCAGGUGGAGGAUGAGAGGAAUAAGCCAAGGGUCGUGGAUGAGUACUCUAUCAAAAACUGCAUUGAUCUGCUGAAAACAAUGGAGAUCACACUUGAAGAAGAAGUCAAGGCUUUCCGAGUCUUCAAGAUCCCCGAGAACUGA